CAGAGUGUAUGGAUGUGGAUAUGGAAGGGUUAGUAAACAGUACAAAACCCAUUUAAUAGAGAUUCCAUCGGAGCAUCAUUGUUGGCUGUUAGAUCAAGCAACUGUAUUUUGAUGGCCACACUCAUUGAAUGGGUUGCUUGUUUUGCUUUUAACCAGCCCUUUUUCUAUCCAACUGCCUGUAUUUUGAUG
rnacentral:pre_miRNA from 1 species